rnacentral:lncRNA from 1 species
UGAGUUUCAUUUGAAGCUUACUCACUGUUGCAUGUUAAAAGGCGCACAUAAUUAUUCUCACAAUCUGUUUUCAUUCACAUACUCAGAAGACAAUAGCUAGGAGAUGAAAACAAAAUAUGUUUUGCUUGCUAUUGAAAACUGUUAGAGAAAUGAAGAAAAAAAGAAAAAAGAAAAAAAAAAACAGCAACCGCUGACCAGUUCCUAAUACAGCAACACUGCAAUAAAGAAAAAUUCACCUAUCUUUGGGAGUGUUGACAUUAAUGGAGUCAGGAUGUUACACAAAGAGGACACAGGCCUGAAUAAAAGGAAAUUUUGGUCAGUCUGCCAGAUUUCUUCAUUCUAGAAAUAGAAUGAUCGAGAUAUGAAUGAUCAUAGAAUAUCCUGAGUUGGAAAGUACCCACAAGGAUCAUUGACUCCAGCUCGAUCCUUACUUUGUGUUUAUGUAGGUGCCAUAAAAUACCAAUUCUAUAAAAUCAACAUUAAAUUUGUUCCAUUUGAUCAAAGCAAUUAAUGUCAGUUAUUCCAGUUACAACAAAAUAUACAUGGUAAUACCUUUUCACCUUUUAUUUCAGGUAACUUUUCAUUAACCAAAUGUUGGUGUUACUUGUCUUCCCCAGCAUGAUCUAACUUUGCAGCUAGCCCUGCUUCAAGAAAGGGUGUUGGUCUAGAGGUCAGGAGAGGACUCCACACAUCCUUUCCAACCUAAAUUACAUGGUGAUUCUGUUUACAGAUAUUCAUCUCCACUACCAUUACACAAAAACACAACUACCCACAGUUACACUGUAUCUCAUGCAUUUGUCUACAACCAGGUUCAUCUUCCCCGUAGCAAAGCAGCAUUUGCCUAUGGAACUGUUGUCUUUAUAAUCUCAUACGGAUUUUACAGUGUCUCCUGCUGCGUCUGUGUCUGGUAACUACAUCAGCAGUUUGCUAGGAAGGUUAAAUAGCAAGAUACUUUAAAUAGCAAAUUAUCACACUUUAGGACUUACUGUGUUUAAUUCUUAUCUUUUACUUAGAUCCAGCAAAAGACUUGGGCACUUUGAUGGUGUUCAGUUUUCAGCCUAUAGAGUGGAAUCCAUAUGCCUGAGUCAGGUGCCUAUGUUCCUAAUAUUCAACAUGAGGGAAUAAUGCAAAAGUAAAUGUUUAAUCUAUUUGGUAAUUGUCAUUAGUAAUCAACAGGAUGCUGAUUACGGAGUCCAGCUGGCCAAUGGUAUGCUUCAAGAGCAGGUAGCCGUAGAGGUUAAGUAUGGUGUCAGGAGAUAAGUGCAAGGAGCGGGCAGCACACGCCACAUGCUCAGGAUAUGUUUGCUGUCAGUAUUACUGCUAAUAGCAGUAUGGGCAGACUUCCUGCUUGUGAGAAAAAAUGAGUGGGAGCAGUUGUGUCAGUGGAUGUUUUGGGGCCAUUUUCUUUUCAGUAUCGGCUGGUAUUAGCUUUAAUGAUGAUGCCAUGGUAAUCAGUCAAACCCUUUGGCCCUACCAAAAAAUUCCUUUCAUAUCGAUGAACUCUGAG